UACGGAGGGGGCCAGCGUUGUUCGGAAUCAUUGGGCGUAAAGCGCGUGUAGGCGGCUCGGUAAGUCUGUUCUGAAAGUCCAAGGCUCAACCUUGGGAUGCGGAUGGAUACUGCCGAGCUCGAGUCCGGAAGAGGCGAGUGGAAUUCCUGGUGUAGCGGUGAAAUGCGCAGAUAUCAGGAGGAACACCAAUGGCGAAGGCAGCUCGCUGGGACGUGACUGACGCUGAGACGCGAAAGCGUGGGGAGCAAACAGG
rnacentral:rRNA from 1 species